UAGUCCACGCCGUAAACGAUGGGUACUAAGUGUCGGCAGAUUACUGUCGGUGCCGCAGCUAACGCAGUAAGUACCCCGCCUGGGGAGUACGGCCGCAAAGGUUGAAACUCAAAGGAAUUGACGGGGGCCCGCACAAGCGGUGGAGCAUGUGGUUUAAUUCGACGCAACGCGAAGAACCUUACCCAGGUUAGACACGCUUGUAUUAGGAUCCCGAAAGGGUGACGAGUCCGUAAGGACAGCUUGCGCAGGUGCUGCAUGGCUGUCGUCAGCUCGUGCCGUGAGGUGUUGGGUUAAGUCCCGCAACGAGCGUAACCCCUGUCUUCAGUUGCCAUCGGGUGAUGCCGAGCACUCUGGAGAGACUGCCCAGGAUAACGGGGAGGAAGGUGGGGAUGACGUCAAGUCAGCAUGGCCUUUAUGCCUGGGGCUACACACCGUGCUACAAUGGCCGGCACAAAGGUUGCAAUCCCGUNAGGGGGAGCCAAUCUCAAAAACCGGCCUCAGUUCAGAUUGUGGU
rnacentral:rRNA from 1 species